rnacentral:rRNA from 1 species
CUGGACCAUUCCUGACACUCAGACGCGAAAGCUAGGGUAGCAAACGGGAUUAGAGACCCCGGUAGUCCUAGCCCUAAACGAUGUAGACUAGACGUCGGCGGUGUAAUAGCUGUCGGUGUCCAAGCUAACGCGAUAAGUCUACCGCCUGGGGACUACGGCCGCAAGGUUAAAACUCAAAGGAAUUGACGGGUCCCCGCACAAGCAGCGGAGCGUGUGGUUUAAUUCGUUGCUACACGAAGAACCUUACCUGGGUUUGACAUAGCAGUGGUAGGGAAGAGAAAUCGGACCGACCCUUCGGGGAGCUGUUACAGGUGUUGCAUGGCUGUCGUCAGCUCGUGUCGUGAGAUGUUCGGUUAAGUCCGCUAACGAGCGCAACCCGCGUUGUGUGUUAUAUGUGUCACACAAUACCGCCGGUAUUAAGCCGGAGGAAGGUGCGGAUGACGUCAAGUCAGCAUGACCUUUAUAUCCAGGGCUACACACACGCUACAAUGGACAGUACAACAGGUUGCCAAGCCGCGAGGCGGAGCCAAUCCUCUAAAGCUGUCCUCAGUUCAGAUUGCAGGCUGCAACUCGCCUGCAUGAAGUUGGAGUUGCUAGUAACCGCAGGUCAGCUAUACUGCGGUGAAUACGUUCCCGGGGAUUGUACACACCGCCCGUCAAGUCAUGGAAGCUGGCAACACCUGAAGCCGGUAUCCUAACCCGUAAGGGAGGGAGCUGUCAAAGGUGGGGUCGGUGACUGGGACUAAGUCGUAACAAGGUAGGUGUACCGGAAGGUGCGCCUG